rnacentral:lncRNA from 1 species
UUCGUCUCUUUUACUGAUCAAAUAUGCUCAAUGUAUUUGGGCAUAAAAACCGACAUCUUUUCAAAGUGCUCUGAUACCAAUUGUGGAAAAAUAACAAAAAAUAAAUAAAUUUAUACGUUCGCAGAAGAAUACCUACAAAAAAAAGAAUAAAAAAACAUAAAAAAUAAAACUCACAAAAUCAUAAUUCAACUGGUAAUUUUUACAAUGACAAAAUUACAAACUCUCCCAUAUAAUUAUAAUUUUUAAGUUAAAAAUUGCAAACCCACCAAAUUAUAAUUUUUGAACGGAAAAAUUAUAAACCCUCAAUUAUAAUUUUUGGACGGAAAAAUUGCAAACUCUCUCACAAUUCCAAUUUUUGGACAUAAAAAUUGUAAACCCUCUCUCAACUACAAUUUUUGGAUGGAAAAAUUAUAAACCCUUUCAACAAACUAUUUUUGAACGGAAAAAUAGAAAACUCUUUCAACAAACUAUUUU